rfam:Canis lupus familiaris chromosome 7, whole genome shotgun sequence.
ACCUGGGUGGCUCAGUGGUUGAGUAUCUGCCUUCAAUUCAGGUUGUGAUCCUGGGGUCCUGGGAUCGAGUCCCACCUUGGGCU